rnacentral:ncRNA from 1 species
AUCUUCAGGGUUAGGUGAAAUUCCUUACCGGUGGUAAUACCCCACGAGCCUUAGUGGCAGAUAUGGUGCAAUUCCAUGGGCGACAGUAAAGUCUGGAUGAAAGAAGAU